GCAAAUCUGUCACUGGUGUGGUACUCAAAAGUAUGUAUAAGUACCUUCAAGGGACAUAGUACUUUAAAUGUACAUAUUAGUCCCUAAAGUGUAUGUAUUAGUUCCUUUUGAGAGAGUGCUACAUUAGUGUAGAAAGAAUAUACAUCUAAAUAUACUGUAUAUUAAAUUGUAUACACUGUAAACCCUAAUGUUGUCUUUACUUAAUCAAGUAAUGUUGACUAAACAUUACUUAAAAUUUUGCAUUUUGGCCCUGUCACUUAAAAAUAUGAGUUAAUUUAACUUAUUUACCUUCCAAAUGCAUCAACUUAAGAUUUCAAGUGUUGUGAGCUCAAAAUCAUGAUUAAUCCUUUGGAGAAACUCAACAUCAUUCUGUUCUUCCUUUAAUGUGAUUGGUCAUACAAGGAAUUCUGCCUAGCAACAAGAGAACAAAAGCACUGAUUGGUGGAUUACAAAAUUCGUCCUUUUUGACUUCGUCUGUUUGGUUGCUGACACAACAUUUCAAGACGGACGUUUUUCUUCGUGUACUAUGUUGGGUGACGUGAGAUAAGAAGAUGUGGAAAUGUUUGCAUGUUCAACAGAAUUACGGACAAAAAUCUAUAGCAGGGAUUCUAUGAAAACCUGGACAGACACAGUUCAAGGUUCAUGGACCUUUUUAAAACCAGAAGGGGGAUUCCUGGUCAGCACUUGUUGAAGGUUUAACAGCAAAUAGAGGUCCGUAAUUAUUUGUCUUAUUUAACAUAACUUAAAGGUACUGUAUAGUUCACCCAAAAAUGGAAAUUCUGUCACCAUUUACUCACCCGCACUAUUUUAAAGGAAUGUUUGUAACCGAACAAUUUUGGGGCACCAUUGACUUCCUCAGUGUUUCUUUUUAGUAUGUACAUGUCAAUGUUGUCCCAAAACUGCUUGGCUAUAAACAUUCUUCAAAAUAUCUUCCUGUGUUCAGCUGAGCAAAGAAAUGUAUACAGAUUUGGAACAACUUUAGUAAAUGAUAACAUAAUUUUCUAUCAUCCUUUUUAACUACCCUUUUAAAAUUAUUUCAUUUUGUCCACAUGUCAUUUAUUUAAUUUAUAUUUCAUAUCAGUAAUCUUUUAUGUAUGAUAGACAAUCUUAAUUUAAAUCAAAUAUUAUCAUAACAAUGCUUAAAGUAGAUUGGCAUUAAUAGAAUUUCACGUUUUCCUCUAAAGUCAGACCAGCCAACUGAGGUCUGAACCCUUGUUCUUUGAGGACUGCCUGUCAUGCUCGGAGACGAAGACUCUUCUUUCUUCAAGUCAUGUCUAGUGUCUGAACAUCGCGACACUAUCCUUGAUGUGCCAGUGGGGAUCUUAUUUGAGGACACUGAUCUUCAGCCCCCCAACUCCUUGCAUUUGACUUCUUUAAUUGGAAUAAUUCUUGAAGGCCAAGUGGUGAUGGACAAAAUGCAGGACCUCCCACAGGCAAUCUGUCUUCUCUUCGGUCUGAUUUACGCACUAGACCUGAAUUACCCAAAAUCACUCGCCAACACGUUUGAUUUCAUCCAGCAUGUACUAAUGACAAUGGGACAGAAUGCUCUCAAGCCUAGAGUGCAGUCUCUAGCAAACCAGCUCUUUGCUUAAGAAACGCCACUGUGAUACUUUAAUACCACCCUCUGUUUUGGGUUUUCCCCCAUCGAUUUACUCCAUUAUCCAUAUAUGAAGAAUAAAAAGUAUGUUUAAAUAGUUAAAUGCAGUUCUAGAAUUGAUGUGCAGUAUUUAAUUUGGGAUAUUGUUACCAUUGUUACACCUCUGUGGUGUGGUUGUGACCCGGUAAUAUUACCAUUACAGUAUAGUUUGUACUGUAAUAUUGUGAAAUUUGGGCCAAAGACCUCCAAAGACAUGUUCAGUAUGUAUUAGUUUAGUUUGCCGUGUUUGCAGAAAGCUUAAAUGGUGAACUGUAGUAAGACUGUAGUUCUUAUGUUUAGCCUACAUGUUCAGGACAAUAACAAUUGUGAGGUAUAAGAAGUGUAAUUAAGUGCACAGAGUUGUACAAUUGAUGUAAGUGCACUAGUUAAUGUUGAACAUUUUUACUGUUGUUACCACCUUUACAGUGUGGUUAUGACCCAGUAAUAUUUCCACUACAGUUUGUACUGUAAUACUGUGAAACAUUGGUGAAAGACAGUGUUGAGUAUGUUUUAUUUUAGUUCACUAUGUUUGCACAAAGCUUAAACUGUCAAAUCUAAUUAUGUUUACAUUAUGCACAUACAUACUUUACUCAAGUACCACAAUUAUGUUAGUGUUGUACUAUUGAUGUACUACACUAGUUAAUUUUGUUACCACCUAUACAGUGUGGCUGUGACUCAUUUCCAUUACAGUAUAGGGUUUACUGUAUUUUCAUUAAUAUUGUGACAUUUUGUCAAUAAAGUGUCAAAGAUUAAA